UACAGAGGGGGCAAGCGUUGUUCGGAAUUACUGGGCGUAAAGGGCGCGUAGGCGGCCUUCUAAGUCAGACGUGAAAUCCCCGGGCUCAACCCGGGAACUGCGUCUGAGACUGGAAGGCUCGAAUCCGGGAGAGGGAUGCGGAAUUCCAGGUGUAGCGGUGAAAUGCGUAGAUAUCUGGAGGAACACCGGUGGCGAAGGCGGCAUCCUGGACCGGCAUUGACGCUGAGGCGCGAAAGCUAGGGGAGCAAACAGG
rnacentral:rRNA from 1 species